rnacentral:misc_RNA from 1 species
GAAAUGCGAUAAGUAAUGUGAAUUGCAGAAUUCAGUGAAUCAUCGAAUCUUUGAACGCACAUUGCGCCCGCCAGUAUUCUGGCGGGCAUGCCUGUUCGAGCGUCAUUACAACCCUCAGGCCCCCGGGCCUGGCGUUGGGGAUCGGCGGAAGCCCCCUGCGGGCACAACGCCGUCCCCCAAAUACAGUGGCGGUCCCGCCGCAGCUUCCAUUGCGUAGUAGCUAACACCUCGCAACUGGAGAGCGGCGCGGCCACCCCGUAAAACACCCAACUUCUGAAUGUUGACCUCGAAUCAGGUAGGAAUACCCGCUGAACUUAAGC